rnacentral:tRNA from 1 species
GACUCUUUGGCGCUAUAGGUAGCGCAUCAGUCUCACAAGCUGAAUUCGAUCCUCCGAAGGAGGGCGUGAUAUACUGGGAAAAGCUUCUGAAGGCGAAGAAGAGUCU